AUUGAACGCUGGCGGCAUGCCUUACACAUGCAAGUCGAACGGCAGCACAGGAGCAAUCCUGGUGGCGAGUGGCGAACGGGUGAGUAAAGUAUCGGAACGUGCCCAGUCGUGGGGGAUAACGUAGCGAAAGUUACGCUAAUACCGCAUACGAUCUAUGGAUGAAAGCGGGGGAUCGCAAGACCUCGCGCGAUUGGAGCGGCCGAUAUCAGAUUAGGUAGUUGGUGGGGUAAAGGCUCACCAAGCCGACGAUCUGUAGCUGGUCUGAGAGGACGAACAGCCACACUGGGACUGAGACACGGCCCAGACUCCUACGGGAGGCAGCAGUGGGGAAUUUUGGACAAUGGGCGAAAGCCUGAUCCAGCCAUGCCGCGUGCAGGAUGAAGGCCUUCGGGUUGUAAACUGCUUUUGUACGGAACGAAAAGGCUCUGGUUAAUACCCGGGGCUCAUGACGGUACUGUAAGAAUAAGCACCGGCUAACUACGUGCCAGCCGCCGCCGUAA
rnacentral:rRNA from 1 species